CGGAUGGUGCAGUACAGGGUUACUUCGACUUUUAAUCGAAAGGUGUGGGUUCGAGUCCCAUCUGCCUGU
rnacentral:tRNA from 1 species